rnacentral:rRNA from 1 species
ACGGAGGGUGCAAGCGUUGUCCGGAAUCAUUGGGCGUAAAGGGCGCGUAGGCGGCAGGAUAAGUCUGGAGUGAAAUCCCUAGGCUCAACCCAGGAAGUGCAUUUGAAACUGUCUCGCUUGAGUACGGGAGGGGUUAGUGGAAUUCCUGGUGUAGCGGUGAAAUGCGUAGAUAUCGGGAGGAACACCGGUGGCGAAGGCGGCUAACUGGACUGCAACUGACGCUGAGGCGCGAAAGCGUGGGGAGCAAACAG